AUAAUUUAUUAAAAUAUACAAAACCAAAAUUCAAUCAAUUCUUCGAUUACAUUAUCGUCUAAACCUAGACUUGUGAGAUUUACCUCCUUCUCCUCCAAAUCCAAUCGUAACCUUAGACCCUCAUUCAUCAAUGGAGGCGAAGAACGAGCAAGUUGCAGAGUUUUGGAGUCUGAAGUCUAAUCGAGGUAGCAAUCCAGUCGUCGAAGCGCAUGGCGGUUCCGGCCAAUCCAGUCGUCGAAGAAGAAGAGCACGAAGGUCCCACACAUCAUCCUACUGCACCGUCACACGAGUCGCCGUGACGCGAAACGAAGACGCUGAGAUCCAAAUCCACACUUCCCCAUGAAGUUCAACGUUGCAAAUCCCACCAGUGGAUUCUAGAAGAAGCUGGAAAUCUAUGAUGACGUGAAGCUAUAAUUUCUUCCCCUAUUUCACUUUUUAUGUUGUUUCUAUUCACAAGAUUUGUUAUUCUGUUAACUAAAUUGUGUUGUGAAUUCCAGUCGUGCUUUUUGGGACAAGAGGAUCUCUCAAGAGGUUAAUGGUGAUGCUUUGGGAGAGGAAUUUAAAGGCUAUGCUUUCCAAAUUACUGGAGGGUGUGACAAGCAAGGUUUUCCAAUGAAGCAAGGAGUGUUAAAUCUCGGCCGUGUCCGCCUCUUGCUCCACCGAGGAACUCCUUGUUUUCGAGGACACGGAAGGCGUCUGUUGCAUCAUCCUUAUUAGGAACUGUUAGCAGUGAAGAUGCAGUUAACAUGGCUAGGACAUUGGCCGUAAAAGAAAGACUCAUGGUUGGCAUAUCGUCCGGAGCUAACACGGUUGCAGCACUUAGAUUGGCUAGUUUUCCUAUUUAAAUGACCGAUGCAUAACAAAGAGUUAUUAUUUAAAUGACCGACAUCUGAAAAUAAGUAACAGAACUUGAUUAAAGUGAGACAAAUUCUCAGUUGAAUAACUGUCUUUGAAUUGGAAAACCGCAGAUUAUACAAACUAUUGGUGCAGAAUAAGAGUCGUUACUUUUUCCUUUUGAGGAUAUAAUGCAUUAGAUGGUCAUGUUUUAUGUGGUUAUCAUCAUAUCUUUGUAUGUCAGUACAUCAUGCAACUCUUUCUUGGCUCGAAUAUUCACAUUUUUUUUCUUCUCAUAGGUAUGAAGGUGAAUGGGUUCGAAACGACCCCGAGGGUCAUGGUGUUGUUGAAGUUGAAAUACCAGUUAUACUGUUCCUGGAUCCAAGUAUGCAUCUCUGAAGUCUUGCAAAUGGACGGUACGAAAUCCCCUAUUAUGAGAGGAAAGCAUGGAUUGAGGAAUUUGGAGAAAAGCCGUUGGCGUUCAAAGCCUAUUUUAUUCUUGGUGCUGACAUGGGUUGUUGAAAAGGUUUGAGAAUUCCAACAGACAAGUCACAUUCUCAAAGAAGGUUAACAAUGUUUUGUGAACUAUGUAGAAAAAGAUGCAGCUAUCUAGCAAGAAGAGGAUAAGGACAUAGAAAUGUUGCCAAAACAAAAGCCAAAGAAGAAGAAGAAAACUUAUAUAUGAAGAAAGUGUCAUGACUUAGUUAAAAUAUAAUUUUUAUGUGUAUGAUUUUAUAGUACUUGAAAUAUUAUGACUGCACAUGAUUUUGUAUACUUUUUGGUUAAUAUUAAAAAUAUUUUGACUUAGUUAAAAUAUGAUUUUUAUGUGUAUGAUUUUAUAGUAUUUGCAAUAUUAUGACUGAAAAUGAAAUAUAACUAAAUAGUGUAUAUGAAAUAGGGUGUAAAUAGA